UCUCCGUUGGUGAACCAGCGGAGGGAUCAUUACCGAGUUUACAACUCCCAAACCCCAUGUGAACCUUACCACACGUUGCUUCGGCGGUCACGCCCCGGCGCCCUCUGCGGCCCGGAACCAGGCGCCCGCCGGGGACCAAAAACCAAACCAUUGUGUACCACAGCGGAAUCUCUGAGUGGCGUAAUGCAAAAAUAAAUCAAAACUUUCAACAACGGAUCUCUUGGCUCUGGCAUCGAUGAAGAACGCAGC
rnacentral:misc_RNA from 1 species